rnacentral:rRNA from 1 species
UGCCAGCCGCCGCGGUAAUACGAAGGGUGCUAGCGUUGUUCGGAAUUAUUGGGCGUAAAGGGCUCGUAGGCGGCCUGCCAAGUCCCACGUGAAAGACCAGGGCUCAACCCUGGGAACGCGAGGGAGACUGGUAAGCUAGAAUCUUGGAGGGGGUACUGGAAUUCCUAGUGUAGGGGUGAAAUCUGUUGGUAUUAGGAAGAACACCGGAGGCGAAGGCGAGUACCUGGCCAAAGAUUGACGCUGAUGAGCGAAAGCGUAGGGAGCGAACAGGAUUAGAUA